UUCGGUUUUCGACACCGUGGAAUUCAAAGCGCCACAGUGUGGGUCAGAAGAACUCUGUUCAGGACGCUCAAACCCCUGCAACCAGUUGUUGACACCGCUACAUAUAUAGAGAUUGCUAAUGUGACGUCAUCGUGACGUAUUACCAGUGGUGAACGCAAAGCAUUUUGGGAAUCCGCGGCACAAACAGAAGGCACCAGACUUGAUUGCAUGGAGGGAAGAACGCAGUGUUCAAGAUGCCGUCUACCUGCUGUGUUAUAAACUGCAAUAGUCGUUCUCACGAUUGAAGUGGCAUAAAGCUUAAGAACGGAAAAUCCUUUUAUCGUUUUCCGGCGUGGAAAAAUAAUAGUACAAGCCAUGUUUCAGAGGUGACAAAAAGUGCGACGAAUGGCAUGGAUAGCAGCAGUAAGGAGGCCCAAGAUUACCAUACAUGAUGGCAAACCUGCCUAUGAAAUGUUGGAGUGUGAUCCUGACUGGGCCUGGGAUAUGUGGUGCCUUGUGAGGGGGAGGAUAAGACUUUGCUGGAUAAAAUUGUGGUUGUGUGCUGUGCUUUGACCAAUAUGUGUCCAAGUAUUGUUGUGAAGCCGUCGUGUUAGAAUUAUACACCAUGCUCCCAUCUAAUAUGUAAAAAUGUUUUUUUUUUUUUUUUCAAAAGAUUUUGUAAUGUCACUUCUCACAUGUAAUGAUUUUUAGCAAUCUCUGUAAAUAAAAUACACAAAGACUGAAUGAAAUUCUGCCUCCUUUAUCUGUAUUAAGGAAGAAUUGUGCAAAAUCAGUUUGGAUGCAAUACACAAUUACAUAACUUAAAUGGUAGUAACAACCAACUAAAUUUCAGUUUCUUUACAUAUUUAACAUGUAAAUACAUUUAGAUGAAGACAUUUAUAAAGAGUCCAUAGAAAAGAUAACUGGAAAUGUAUGAGGUAGGUUGUGGGUGAUAAGUCACAGACGUGUGCAAGCAUCGCAUUGCCAUAACUCUUCUCUGGCUAGUGCGCUGUCCCACGCAACCUAAAUGGAACCACUGUAUAGGCCAGUUCUGAUUAUCGCAAGCAGCCAUGUCUGCAAACAUUCAGGCUGUCUGCAAAAGCACCACAACACAGCCUUUUCAGGUUGACCUCCCGACCAGUCACUAUGCGCGUAAGAAUCCAGUCCUUCGAUUCACUUUAUUUUCUCGUCAUAUCUCGUCUUUGCAUUAGGAUGUAGUUUUAGGCAGUAUGGUCCGACAAUGUUUUCUUUAGACCGCUGCAUUUUGUAGGAUUAUAUUCUGUUUUUCACGCUAAUUUUUUUAUUAUUUUCAUGCCACUAGCCUGCUAUGCGAUGCCAGCCCAUGUAAACGGGCCAAACAUACCCAUAAUUCUUUGCGUUCUGAUGACGUUGCCGCCCAGUUGGUCACAUGUCUUAGCAAUCUCGUCAUUUUACUGUCCCACAACUAAUGUCAU